rnacentral:rRNA from 1 species
UACGAAGGGGGCUAGCGUUGCUCGGAUUGACUGGGCGUAAAGGGCGCGUAGGCGGUUCGUACAGUCAGACGUGAAAUUCCUGGGCUCAACCUGGGGGCUGCAUUUGAUACGUGUUUGCUUGAGUGGGGAAGAGGGUCGUGGAAUUCCCAGUGUAGAGGUGAAAUUCGUAGAUAUUGGGAAGAACACCGGUGGCGAAGGCGGCGACCUGGUCCUUGACUGACGCUGAGGCGCGAAGGCGUGGGGAGCAAACAGG